UCCCCGUUCUCCUGGGCAGUCUCUCCAGAGUUCUCGACUUUACGAGUCGUUCCCCUUUCGGGGUUCUACUUCCGUCAUGUCAAGCCUAGGUAAGGUUCUUCGCGUUGCAUCGAAUUAAACCACACGCUCCGCUGCUUGUGCGGGCCCCCGUCAAUUCCUUUGAGUUUUAGCCUUGCGGCCGUACUCCCCAGGCAGGGCACUUAAUGCGUUAGCUACGGCACCGGAGGGGUCGAUACCCCCGACACCUAGUGCCCACCGUUUACGGCGUGGACUAC
rnacentral:misc_RNA from 1 species